rnacentral:rRNA from 1 species
AUUGAACGCUGGCGGCAUGCCUUACACAUGCAAGACGAACGCGCCAUUGGGGCAACCUGAUGGUGAGUGGCGAACGGGUGAGUAAAGCAUCGGAACGUGCCCCGUCGUGGGGGAUAACCAGUCGAAAGACUGGCUAAUACCGCAUACGACCCGAGGGUGAAAGCGGGGGACCGCAAGGCCUCGCGCGAUGGGAGCGGCCGAUGUCUGAUUAGCUAGUUGGCGGGGUAAAGGCCCACCAAGGCGACGAUCAGUAGCUGGUCUGAGAGGACGACCAGCCACCCUGGGACUGAGACCCGGCCCAGACUCCUACGGGAGGCAGCAGUGGGGAAUUUUGGACAAUGGGCGCAAGCCUGAUCCAGCCAUGCCGCGUGCGGGAAGAAGGCCUUCGGGUUGUAAACCGCUUUUGGCAGGAACGAAACGGCGACUCCUAAUACGGGUGGCUAAUGACGGUACCUGCAGAAUAAGCACCGGCUAACUACGUGCUAGCAGCCGCCGCCGUAACAC